rnacentral:lncRNA from 1 species
UGCAUUCAGGGAAAUGGAAUGAAAUAAUCAACAAGCAUUGACCAAAUAUAUAGAAGAUCAAGGUCAAAUAAUAGAAAACAGAAGUAAGAUGAAGAUUAGAAAUCAAGAAAUAAGUAAAAUAUUUUUGGUAUUUUUCAAUAUUAAAAUAAAACUUGAAUUAAAGUAAUAAACAAAGUUCAAACUUCAAAUUCACUUCAAAUCAACUUUGAAAAGUCCAAGUGAAUUAUCCCAAGUUCAACAAGGUCAAACAAAGUUUGAC